GGGGUGGGGCGUGAUUAAACUAGUUCGCUGUCGGCCGCGGAGGGAUUACGCUGAGGGAAGAGACUGUUGCGGUGCUGCUGCAUGUCCUGAGCGACCAGAGUUGGAAGUCUCUGUGCAAAGGAGUGACUUGGUGGGCGGGCGAGGGUCAGCCUCCCCUGCUGGCGGAGGGUGCAAUGGAGUUGCGUGGCGGGGGCAUCUUUGAGAAACCGUGGUGUUGGUGACUGGGCCGCGUGAGGCUUCCGUGGGCCGCCCUCCUAAAUUCUCAGAGUCGACUUGCCCGAGUGCGUACUCACAAAGGGUCACCACACACGGAGCUGCCCCUCCCUGUCUCCCCAAACCCCUUCUUCGAGGCCAGGGGCUUUUUCUGUCCGGAUUCUGGGACUUUUCUGCUCCUUUCCUUCCUCCCAGAUCUUCUAACGAUAAGAACACAGGUCAAGAAAGUAUAAAGAAGUCAUUCAGGUCCUACAGCUAUCUAUGUGAAGAACUAGAAUUAAAAUGUAGGUCCUCUGUCUGGUCCACCUUGUUCACCUACAUGCUUUACACCAUAAUAUACAAUUGAUUAGUUAUAUUAUUCCAUGUUUCAUGUGCCUUCACUAUUCACAGAAGAAGAAUAAACUAGAGAUGGAUCAGAAUUAAUCCAUCAUUUCCAUUACAGAAAUAAGCACAUUAUGCGCUAAUUUUACAUUAAAUUAUAUAUGCCAUCUUUGUAUAUUUAGUUUAGAAAGAAUUGAUCAAUUGUCUGUUACUGGAGAGUGUCCGAGUGUACAUGCACAGUACAAGCUAGGUGGUGGUGGUUGGAAGUUUGUAGAGAGUAUCCAUUGGUGUGGAUCUAUGCGUUGCCUAUUGCAACAGUAUUGCUGAGCAGGUGUUCAUCCAGAAGCUCUGUAUUCAACUUCCUUUUGACCUCUGACACAUCACUUUCUUAAGCCUUAAUUCCCAUUUCUUUAAGAGAAGGGAUGAUAUUUUCAGAAAUCUCUUAUAAUUCUAGAAUUCUAAGAUUCUAAUUCUGAAUGUAAUGAGACCCUCUUGCAGUAUCUGUUGGUUGGGGACCAUACAUUUAACUUUAUACUAAGGAGAUAGGCUAAACUCCUUUACAGACUGAAACUUACCUGGUCUGGAGCAGUAUAUAUGGGUAUUAAUUGUGGAGCCCCAGUGUCUAAUUAUAAAAACUUGGUAAAACUAGAGUGUACUAGGUGUACAUUCUAGUGACGUUUGAUUAUAAGAGGGAGGAAUAUUGCCAGAUUGUCAUUUUUCUCUUGCAAAUACUAGCCAGAUUUCUGACUAGAAAACAAAAUUUAAAAGGUUGUAUACCCAGAGAUAACCUAAUAUUUUUUAUCACUGGCAUCCCAAGGAACAGAGUUUCAUUGUACCUCCUUUGCACUCCCUUGGUAUUUUCUACCUCUUGUACAGCUUUUUGUGGUAGUUAGCCUGCAAGAUGGCCUCCAAUGACUCAUGCCCUUCAUUACUCAUGUACUCCCUGCCUAAAUAGGGUUGACGUCUGUGACCAGUAGGAUAUUGUGGAAAUAACAUUGCUCUGAAGAUAUUUUUAACCGACUGUGAUUGAUUAACUUCUAUGAAGGCUAGAGCCACCUGGGUUGCACCUGUUGCUUCUGUUGGGAAAGGUAUAAAUUACCUCUACUGUUUUAUUUGGAUAUAAAGGCAAUAUUUUAAAUAGGUUUUCUUUAAAACAAAGUGUUUUAAAGAUGAAACAAAUACAGUGUCUAUAUGGGGGAUAACAUUUUAACAAGUAUCUAAGCACAACAGGAUCAAAAAGAACUGUUGGAGUUGGCCAUCUUUAGAGAAUUUACUGAGAAAGGAAUGCCUUUUAUUCCUACUUGCUUGUAUUUUUAAUUGAAAAUAAUUUAAACUUACAGAUAAGUUGAAAAAAAUAACAUGAAGAACACCUGUGUACCUUUUAUCUAAAUUCACCCAUUAAGAUUUUGUCUCUUUUGCUUUAUCAUGUAUGCUUCUCUGUGCUCUCUCAAUGCUUGCAUCUGUAAGUACUGUGUAUAUAUACACAUGUACUUGUGUAUGUAUUAUUUGGGAAAAGUCCAGCCAUUAUUAAUAUAAUGUGAAUGGUUUGCACAACAUUGAUGUAACCUGGCAGGCAAGGAUAGUGGAUUGGAAUGCACGUGCAUGAACAAUGAUGACUUCCCUGUACUAUUCAGUGGGAGCAGUAGAUGCCAUUGAGUGAGUGUAUGUACUGUGUGGUUGUUGCAUUCAAAAUGACUGAGCAAGUAGAGCAAUGAAUCUGCAUCCAAUUUUGCGUUAAGCUUGCACAUCCCUCUGUGAAAACUAUUUGGGUGAUUCACAAGGCAGCAGCUAUGGGUAACUGGUGAUUAGCAGCUUCAUCACGACAAUGUGCCUGCUCAUGCAUCACAUCUCAUGCAGAGUUUUCGGUCAAAACAUUAAAUCAUCCAGGUGACUUAGCACCCCCUACAGCCUAGAUUUGGUGCCCUGUGUAUACAGACACACAAGAUAUUUAUUCUAAAUCAUUUAAGGGUAGUUUACACACAGCAUAGCCCUGUACCCCUAACUUCUUAACUGUGUAAUUCCUAAGAAUUAUAGUUAAACUCCAGUAGGUUUAACAACCUCAUCAGAGACUGGAAGUUAAGAUAGAUUUUGUUUUUUUAAUGCUUGAAUGUUUUAACUGUCACACUUGUUCUGUGCUGUGUGACAUGCCCAGGAAUUCACUUUAAAAAAUAAUACACUGAGUUUUUCAUUAUUUACCUAUUUAUUUAUGCAUCAUUCCUAACAGUAUCACAGGUGAAUGUUUUGCAUUAGUUUAAGGUGUGAAAGAUGUCUCUUUAACCUGAAGAUAAAACAACUUUGCAUCUUUUGAUGCUGUGAUCUUAAUUAUGGUUUUGUUCCUGACUCUCUGCAUGUGCCAGAGUCCUAGGCAAUUACUUUCACCUGAUGACUAACCCAUUCUCAGCCUCUCAACUUUGUGACUUUGGUUUUAGUAGGGGAAUGUCAUGCAUGGGCUUCCCAAAAUAUUCUUAUUUGAAAUUGGAAAUAGCAUACUAAUAUGCUAAAGCUGGAAUUAUUUCUUAUAAGAAUACCACUAAAGAUAAUUUGUUUUUUCCGAACAUAACAUAGGGGGAUGAGUAUGGCUGUACUAUUGUAGAUAUUCUUGAUCCUUGACUAAAAUUGUAUUACCUAGGAAGAUUGAUAUUUUCAUGUGAUUCUCAAUAUAAGAACAAAGAAAAUGUAAUAGCUAUGUAUUCUAAAUUCUGUAUUAUACUUUGUUAAUACAAUAGCUAAAUACCAGCCCAAAGCAAAGGAGCUGUGAAUUUUUAUUAUUGUCAGAAACAUGGCUUCAAAAGACACCUAAAGAACAGAAAGGAAUUCAAGAAGACCCAGAAAUCUCACAUAAGAUUGAGGAAAGGUUUUGUGUGUGUGUGUGUAUGUGUGUGUGUCUUUAUAUGUAUCCCUGUAUGUUGGUAAAUACCAAAGAGAAAUAUUUAAUUGAUAAAUAUAUAUUUUAAUCAAAAUAAUUUUCUGAGAGGAAAGGAACACAUACUUUUUACCCAUAGAGUUAAGUGUAGUAUAUAAAUAUAAUUGACCUCACAUGCCAUGUUCAUGCAUAGGAAGAAUUAAUGUCAUUAAAAUGUCUAUACUACCCAAAGUAAUCUAUAGAUUCAAUGCAAUUCCUUUCAAAAUUCCAGUGACAUAUUUCACAGAACCAUAACAAAUAGUUAAAAAAAUUCUGUUCUGGGGACUUUUAUGUUGAAAUAUAUGUAAAGCAUGUGUAGCAGUUUAAAAAUUUUAAAUUAUUUAAAUUGUUUUGGAUGCUUCAAUUGUAUUAUAUGUGACUUACCUUUUACAUUUGUUUGAAUUCUUAAUCUGGAGAGUGUACUUGUACUGGAGUUUACUGUUAGUUGUUUUAUUGUUUCUUGUUGGAGAGUUAUCAUAUAAAAGACUAUUCUAAUGAAAACAUUAAAAUUUACAAUUUGACAUGCAAAAGGGUUGUCCGUUGAUUUUCACCAAUAUAGCAUUUUCAGAGUGAAAGAGCUGCUAUCACUAUUUCUCCCCUCCCAGCAUGAGACAAGUCAUCUGAGCUCGUCAGAUGUACAAAAGUUUUUUUAUGCUGUUGCAGGCAAGCACUUCAUACAUAGAGGGAAGUUUAAAUGAUGUGUUUUAUAUCAUUGUAAGCA